ACGGCAACAAUUUUAAUAUACGCUAUUGGAGGGCAAGUCUGGUGCCAGCAGCCGCGGUAAUUCCAGCUCCAAUAGCGUAUAUUAAAAUUGUUGCCGUUAAAAAGCUCGUAGUCGAACUUCGGGCUCUGUCAGCCGGUCCGCCUUCUUGGUGUGUACUUGUUUGAUGGAGCCUUACCUCCUGGUGAACGGCGAUGUCCUUUACUGGGUGUCGUCGCAAACCAGGACUUUUACUUUGAAAAAAUUAGAGUGUUCAAAGCAGGCCUUUGCCCGAAUACAUUAGCAUGGAAUAAUAAAAUAGGACGCGCGUUCCCAUUUUGUUGGUUUCUGAGAUCGCCGUAAUGAUUAAUAGGGAUAGUUGGGGGCAUUUGUAUUCCGUCGUCAGAGGUGAAAUUCUUGGAUUGCCGGAAGACAAACUACUGCGAAAGCAUUUGCCAAGGAUGUUUUCAUUGAUCAAGAACGAAGGAAGGGGGAUCGAAAACGAUUAGAUACCGUUGUAGUCUUCUUUUUUUCAC
rnacentral:rRNA from 1 species